GACGAACGCUGGCGGCGUGCUUAACACAUGCAAGUCGAACGGUAAGGCUCCAGCUUGCUGGGGUACACGAGUGGCGAACGGGUGAGUAACACGUGGGUGACCUGCCCUGCACUUCGGGAUAAGCCUGGGAAACUGGGUCUAAUACCGGAUAGGACCGCACCGUGAGGGUGUGGUGGAAAGUUUUUUCGGUGUGGGAUGGGCCCGCGGCCUAUCAGCUUGUUGGUGGGGUAAUGGCCUACCAAGGCGGCGACGGGUAGCCGGCCUGAGAGGGUGGACGGCCACAUUGGGGCUGAGACACGGCCCAGACUCCUACGGGAGGCAGCAGUGGGGAAUAUUGCACAAUGGGCGGAAGCCUGAUGCAGCGACGCCGCGUGGGGGAUGACGGCCUUCGGGUUGUAAACUCCUUUCACCAUCGACGAAGGGUUUCUGACGGUAGAUGGAGAAGAAGCACCGGCUAACUACGUGCCAGCAGCCGCGGUAAUACGUAGGGUGCGAGCGUUGUCCGGAAUUACUGGGCGUAAAGAGCUCGUAGGUGGUUUGUCGCGUCGUCUGUGAAAUUCCGGGGCUUAACUCCGGGCGUGCAGGCGAUACGGGCAUAACUUGAGUACUGUAGGGGAGACUGGAAUUCCUGGUGUAGCGGUGAAAUGCGCAGAUAUCAGGAGGAACACCGGUGGCGAAGGCGGGUCUCUGGGCAGUAACUGACGCUGAGGAGCGAAAGCAUGGGGAGCGAACAGGAUUAGAUACCCUGGUAGUCCAUGCCGUAAACGGUGGGCGCUAGGUGUGGGUUUCCUUCCACGGGAUCCGUGCCGUAGCUAACGCAUUAAGCGCCCCGCCUGGGGAGUACGGCCGCAAGGCUAAAACUCAAAGGAAUUGACGGGGGCCCGCACAAGCGGCGGAGCAUGUGGAUUAAUUCGAUGCAACGCGAAGAACCUUACCUGGGCUUGACAUAUACAGGAUCGCGCCAGAGAUGGUGUUUCCCUUGUGGCUUGUAUACAGGUGGUGCAUGGUUGUCGUCAGCUCGUGUCGUGAGAUGUUGGGUUAAGUCCCGCAACGAGCGCAACCCUUGUCUUAUGUUGCCAGCACGUUGUGGUGGGGACUCGUAAGAAACUGCCGGGGUUAACUCGGAGGAAGGUGGGGAUGACGUCAAAUCAUCAUGCCCCUUAUGUCCAGGGCUUCACACAUGCUACAAUGGUCGGUACAGUGGGUUGCCAGUCCGUGAGGGCGAGCUAAUCCCGCAAAGCCGGUCUCAGUUCGGAUCGGGGUCUGCAACUCGACCCCGUGAAGUCGGAGUCGCUAGUAAUCGCAGAUCAGCAACGCUGCGGUGAAUACGUUCCCGGGCCU
rnacentral:rRNA from 1 species